UUCAGUUGUUAGGUACAGCAUGCAGGUGCUGGUGUUGUUCGCCUGUGGCACGCAGAAGGUCAGACUACAUGAUCUUCUGGCCUUCAAUUCUAUGAUUCCAUGCUUCUGAGCACAGACGAGAGAGAUGGCGGGGGCCUGAAAGAAGAGAUGAAAGCCCUCAUGCCACGAAUGUGACUGCCCUUUAGCUGGAACAGGAGAGGCCCGAGUUUUUGCUGCAGAAAUUCACUCUGUUCGUGGGCUUGGAUGGACUUCUGCACAGGUGACCUGCUAGAACACUCUGCACUCUGAGAAGAUGAGAUGCCCUGAGGGCGAUGUCGUUCCAGAUGCAGAAGUGCCAGAGGAUAAUGGGCUGAUUAAGACCCACCUGUGCAAACAGGUACUGGCUCUGAUGGACGCUGUUUGUCACUUGAUGCGACCACAAAUCAACCAAACGUCCAGAGAUGGGAAUAUCUGAGUCAUCUGAGAUGUGCUGCUACCUCUACCAUGCACUUUGUAAGACUUCUUGGGACUGAUGAGAGGUAAUGGUGGUCCCACUAAAAACCUUAAGUACUUUCUGUGGCUUGGGUGGAUAACCGCAUCAAAAUAGGAAUCCUGUUGGUCAAUGUACCAAUCGUUGGGAUUUAAGGAUGGGGAAACGGAGGCAGGGGACACCAUCCUGAAUUUUUGCUUAUUGGUGAAGAUGUUCAAUUUCCUUAAGUCUAGGAACCCCCUCUCAUUUGGGGUGAAAAUAUCAGGAGUAGAACUGACUUCCUUAUGGUAUAAAGGGCCCCCCCUCCAAGAGCUAGAAGAAACUGCUGCUCCUGACGCAGUACAAUUUUGUGAGUAGGUCCCUGAAUAGGGAAAGGGGAGGAUGCUGGGGGUGGGGCAAGAACUGGAAUUGGAUGGUGUAUCCCAGUCCCAUAGUCUCUAGAACCCACUGAUUAGUGGUUAUGAAGUUUCAGGCGGCAGAGAAGUGGUACAACAGGUUUCCAAAGUGAGGGGAUGGGUUGGGAAGAUCCAGAAUAACUGGCGCGCUGCAGCCAGAUUGGCUGCCUUAAGACUGAUGGGUCGAACAUAUUCAUGCCAAAGCAGAAGGCUUCCUUCGUGGAAAUUUGUGCCACUUUCUGGAGGAGUCAGCUGGAAUGGAGGGCUAACUAUGGAGCUGUUGAGGCUUACAUUGCCUCCUCUUGGGGGCUAGCUACUCACAUACGUAGCCAGGGUCCCGGGCGGGGUUGUACAGCCCAUACUGCUGCCCAGCUUGUUGUGGCUUUACUCCUGCUGUUCUUCCACUAAUUAGAUCAAUGCUCUAUCUGCUGCCCUCCCACCUCUGAUUGCAGUGGAGAC